rnacentral:rRNA from 2 species
AGGAUGAACGCUGGCGGCGUGCUUAACACAUGCAAGUCGAACGAUGAUGCCCAGCUUGCUGGGUGGAUUAGUGGCGAACGGGUGAGUAACACGUGAGCAACCUGCCCCUGACUCUGGGAUAAGCGCUGGAAACGGCGUCUAAUACUGGAUACGAACAAGAAUCGCAUGGUUACUUGUUGGAAAGAUUUUUUGGUUGGGGAUGGGCUCGCGGCCUAUCAGCUUGUUGGUGAGGUAAUGGCUCACCAAGGCGUCGACGGGUAGCCGGCCUGAGAGGGUGACCGGCCACACUGGGACUGAGACACGGCCCAGACUCCUACGGGAGGCAGCAGUGGGGAAUAUUGCACAAUGGGCGGAAGCCUGAUGCAGCAACGCCGCGUGAGGGAUGACGGCCUUCGGGUUGUAAACCUCUUUUAGCAGGGAAGAAGCGAGAGUGACGGUACCUGCAGAAAAAGCGCCGGCUAACUACGUGCCAGCAGCCGCGGUAAUACGUAGGGCGCAAGCGUUAUCCGGAAUUAUUGGGCGUAAAGAGCUCGUAGGCGGUUUGUCGCGUCUGCUGUGAAAUCCCGAGGCUCAACCUCGGGCCUGCAGUGGGUACGGGCAGACUAGAGUGCGGUAGGGGAGAUUGGAAUUCCUGGUGUAGCGGUGGAAUGCGCAGAUAUCAGGAGGAACACCGAUGGCGAAGGCAGAUCUCUGGGCCGUAACUGACGCUGAGGAGCGAAAGGGUGGGGAGCAAACAGGCUUAGAUACCCUGGUAGUCCACCCCGUAAACGUUGGGAACUAGUUGUGGGGUCCAUUCCACGGAUUCCGUGACGCAGCUAACGCAUUAAGUCCCCGC